rnacentral:misc_RNA from 1 species
GGUGUUUGCAGGCUGAUCUGAUUGUAAUGCUUCGUUGAGCUCCUCAGUGAUUUCAUGCCCACCCAUCUGAUCAACUAAAGAAAUAAAUCAACUCCUGAGCUAUCUUCAGUAUCCUCGACGCAUUGGUUGUAUCAACUAUAACUGGUCUUAUGUGAUCUUCAGGACUUGUUUCAAAACGGUACACCUGCAGUUUUCUUUGUCAAAGAACUUGAAGCAGACAAAUCAAGCCAUAGACAGUGAAGACGAGUUACUGUG